GUGAAGGUGUGAGAAAGCUCCCUCUGGGAUCGUCGUAAAUGCUGCAUUCACUAUCGUCCUAUGUAGACAAGCAAGGACGUGCAUUAAACUGGGUCAUUUGCAUAUAAUUUUGUCAACAACGGCAAAGAUAUGAACCACUGAAUUUCCUUUUGAAAAUCAAUUAAUUUUACUGAUAUGAAUAUUUGAAUUAUUGUUAUCCAUCAAAAAGUCAUAAUGGUUUCUAAGAAAUAAAUAUUUGAAAGCAAUAUUUUUAACUUUAAAUGCCAAAACGUCUUUACCUAUAGGCGUCCAAAAUGAAGUUUCAUGAUUUGCAACGUGUUCUGAAGAUGUUGAUGACAUUUUUAGAUCUGUAGGAUUUUCCUCUUAUUGCUUAAUCUGCCUUUUCCAUGAAAACUUAACACAAAUUCAGCUCGGUGUCUUCAGAGUUCCCUUUUUUUUUUAUUCUUUUAUAAACAGUCCUCCUUUGUCAUUCAAACUGUCUUUACUGGUAAUGUCACCGGACAGAGACUCAUUUUGUUGUUAGAAUACACCAGCGGGAUCUGUGAGCUGAAGUGCCAGGAUGAAGCAACCAUCUUGCAUUCACGCAGUAGCAGACAGCAAAAUAAGGAAUAUACAGGAUAUGGAUUUGUGAAAGUAUCAUAACUAUUGCAUGUUCUCACCAUUAUUAUGUAAAGACACAAAUUGUAAUGGGUUUAAUGAGUAAUUAGGAUCAUAUUAGGAUCACUUGUAUCCGCAAAGGUUGAAGUACACCACAUUUGUGUGCAAUUCACACAAUUUUUAGGAAGCUGUUAGUCUUUACCAUUAUGCACUUUUGUCUUUAAAGUUAUGAAGUGUAUUUCAAUAGAUCAUUACCUUUUGCUCUGUCAAUAAGGAUUGCCUUUACUCUUAAUGUCUAAAGUUUUUGAAACUUUAAUUUUUUUUAAAUAGGACUGUAUGCAUGGCUGUUUCAGUAUGAAAGACAUUUACCCAUGUAAAAACAAGGCGGCAUAAAACAAUGCUGAAUUAGAUUUUUUGUUUUUGUUUUUUUUUCCCCAAAAAAUUUCUUUACUGUUAUUGGUCAAACUAUAUGAAAAUAACCCUCUUGAGCGCUUAAUGGCGGUGUUCAGAUUUUACAGGCAGGACCAGGAUUCGCAAGUGUGAUCUCAUGUGGUUAGGUUUCAUUCCCAACUGUUGACCCUUCUUUUCUAAAGACACGUCUGUCCUUGUAGUUUGGAAUGUCAAGAUGGAUUAGAUAUUUUCCUAAUUGGGACAUACAACUUAAUUUCUUUCUUCUGUUUUGAACAAUGAUGUCACCUCGCCAUCCUCUUUAGAAAUACUUGUGUACCACUGGCGUCGACGUCACAUGAACGGGUAAGCUCUCAACAAAUUCAACCCCUUCCCCUUGCAGCACGGGUUAAAUCUCGUUUCAUUACAUUGAGUGAACCUUGGGGGAAAGGAUCUAUUUCAAGGUGCAUGAAGAUUUAUUACUUUGUUCCAUAUUCAGCAUAUGGCAGAAAUGUUAGAAUUAUUAUGCACACGCAAUAAAAAGUAUUCCACACUGUCAUAAAAUGGAAUGCUUUGUUUUCUCAGCUGAUCAAAACACAGUGCAUGCCUUUGACGCCUCAGGCCAUAAAGCAGGAUGACAUCACUGAUGUAGCUGCAUACAGCUAUGAGUUCAUACAAGUGCAGGAAGAAUAUGGUUUCAACUCACAAAGAAAUGAUCCCAGGCAGAGAGACAGACACAGAACCGACAAGUAGAUCACAUUGAGGCACCUUGGUCCAAGCUCCAUCAUACUUGAGCAGGAAGAGAAGGGAGCAAAAAUCAGGUGCCGUGUUGGCAGACAAUGAGCACACUGUCGAACAGCCCAGCACUAACGCUGCGUGCAGAGUUGAGAGAGAGGGGAGGGGGACCGAGGGGGCUUCCUGUGUCUCCUGGGUGGGUGCGGGUGCUUUACAGUUUCCCUGGAUUCAUCUUCUAUGCUGUGAGAGACUGUGCAGCAAGAUUGAUGAGAAAUGAUACUUUCUUCUACUGGGGCUAGAAGGAAGUAACACUAAAUUAUUUACUUUCACUCAAAAAGUAUAAAACGGGAUGAAGGCAUAGGCAAAUGUAGUCUUUUAUGUUAUGCAAGGAAAAUACUUUUGCAGACAGACAUCCAUCCUUUUUUUUUUGUCAUGCUUGUCUUCUUUAGGGUUGUGGAUGAACCGAAGCCAAUCCCAGCUGACUUUAGGCGAGAGGCAGGGUGCACCCUGCAGUGGCUGCCAGUCAAUUGCAGGACAUUCCGGACAAAUGUCUAUUCACGCUUCCAUUCGCACCUGGGGACAUUGUUGAAUCUACAAUUAAUCUAACAUGUUUAUGACAUGUGGGGAGCUGCAGUUCUCGGAAGGUCGAAGCCGACAUUCCUCUGAGUCACAAUGGCAAAUGUGCUAAUCACUAUGCACCGUGCUGUUCUGAUUGAUACGAAAUACUUCCAAAUUUGUCUUUUUAAACCAUCACCAACAAAUAUUUGUUUUCUGAGAUAUGUCCAAAUACAAUGGAAAUACAAUAAAAAGUCUACACAC